ACCGUACACCUAAGAAAAGAUAACUCUUACUGAAAUUCUGAAUUAACUUACGUCAAUAUAGCGUUUUAAAAUACGCCUCAUAUUACAAGCGUUUUAUUGACCUUGAAUAGUUGUUUACCUGUUAAUAUGAAGCAGACGAUACAUCAAUGUUAUAAUGGAACAGCGUAAACGUGAUCCGUUUGGUAAAUUUUCGAGGUCUAAAUCUGCCGAUAAGAAAUCAAAUCGUUCAGAUUACUUCAAAUGGUUAAAUGAUGGCAGGAAAUUGGAAGAUUCUCCGCAAGUCGGCUUGCGUAAUGAUCAUGGCGAUUACGUAUACGAGUUUCUUGAUGUUGGGGCCGAGGCUGAAUUGGAAGAUGAUAACAAGUCUGAUGUGUCAAAAUCUUGGACAAUGGGGAGAAGAAUUGUUGAGUUGAAUGUCCUAGCAAAAGGAAUGUAUUGCUGCACUUGCAAGUGUCCGCUUUACCUGUCAAAUAUUGUAGGAGAACGAUUGUUUGGGCUAGGUGGUCUACUGAUGGUGGAUUGUGAACUGUGUCAUACUGUAACUGAUGUCCAGUUUGGGAAGAGGGGCCAUCUGGAAGUUAUGACAUCAACACAAAAGCUUCCAUAGGAAUGAUACAUGCAGGGAUGGGCCCAACUCAUCUGCAGAACUUUCUAGCAGAAUGUAACCUGCCAUCCAUUACAGAGAGCACAUUAAGGAAAAAAGAGAAAGAAUUAAGUGGACAGAUUAAAAAUGUAACAAUCCAGUCGUGCAAUAUGGCACAAAGAGAGGAAAAGUCACUCAGCACAAAUGGCAAUAUUGAAGCAAGUUUUGACGGUGGCUGGCAAAGAGAGGCUCCGGUUGGAAUUAUAAUAGUAAAACAGG